UACGUAGGUGACCAGCGUUGUCCGGAUUUACUGGGCGUAAAGCGCGCGCAGGCGGUCCAUUCAGUCGCUGGUGAAAGCCCCACGCUCAACGUGGGAAGGUCCGGCGAGACGGGUGGACUGGAGGCAGGGAGAGGUCGGUGGAAUUCCGGGUGUAGUGGUGAAAUGCGUAGAGAUCCGGAGGAACACCAGAGGCGAAGGCGGCCGACUGGACCUGACCUGACGCUGAGGCGCGAAGGCGUGGGGAGCGAACGGG
rnacentral:rRNA from 1 species